GACGAACGCUGGUGGCGUGCUUAACACAUGCAAGUCGAACGGGAUUUAGUAAACAGAAGCCUCGGUGGAAGAUUACUAAUGAGAGUGGCGAACGGGUGAGUAACGCGUGAGCAACCUGCCUAUGACAGUGGGAUAGCCUCGGGAAACCGGGAUUAAUACCGCAUAAAAUCGUAGAAACACAUGUUUUAACGGUCAAAGAUUUAUCGGUCAUAGAUGGGCUCGCGUCUGAUUAGCUAGUUGGUGAGAUAACAGCCCACCAAGGCGACAAUCAGUAGCCGGUCUGAGAGGAUGAACGGCCACAUUGGAACUGAGACACGGUCCAAACUCCUACGGGAGGCAGCAGUGGGGAAUAUUGCACAAUGGGGGAAACCCUGAUGCAGCGACGCCGCGUGAACGAAGAAGGUAUUCGUAUCGUAAAGUUCUGUCCUAUGGGAAGAUAAUGACAGUACCAUAGAAGAAAGCUCCGGCUAAAUACGUG
rnacentral:rRNA from 1 species